rnacentral:rRNA from 1 species
GGUGACCUCGAUCAGUAGA